GACGAACGCUGGCGGCGUGCCUAACACAUGCAAGUCGAACGAGGUCCAACCAGUGGCAACACUGGGGAAUACCUAGUGGCGAACGGGUGAGUAACACGUGAGGAACUUGCCCCGGAGACCGGGAUAACCAUUCGAAAGGAUGGCUAAUACCGGAUAUCUCCACCGAGUCGCAUGGCUUGGUGAAGAAAUGGAUUCCGCUCCGGGAGAGCCUCGCGGCCUAUCAGCUAGUUGGUGGGGUAACGGCCCACCAAGGCAUCGACGGGUAGCUGG
rnacentral:rRNA from 1 species